UUGAAAGGCAUAAUGGAAAAUAUCAGAAUAUUUUAUGUUAAAAUCAACAAUACAGCACACAUAACUUGAUGGAACCAUUUGAGAUCCUGAAAAUAAAAAUACCUUUAAAGUACUUCAAAAAAGAAAAUAUGCUUAUAAACUUUAAAUAGAAAAACUAUAUUAUAAAAAACAGCAGAGAAUAUUUCUGCAAGAUAUUAAAUUAAUUAUAUAAAUACUACAUUUUUAAAAGAGUUCUGUAAUUGGCCCAUGAGAAGAGAGUUCAAUGGGGCAGAGUUUGGAAAUGCAAAUCCUUAGGGGAAUUUGGUUUAUGACAAAAAUAACAUCUCGGAUAUCUGAAGAAAGAUGGAUUACUUAAUAAAUAAAAAAACAACUAGGUAUUUUUUGAAAAAAUAAUGUCAGAUUUUAAUCUCAAUUAUUAUAUAAGAAAUCAUUUUGCAUGGGUUAGUUUCAAAAUUUAAAAUAAAUGAAAGAGUCAUUGUUAUAAUCUUGAAAUGUGGUCUGGAAAACUCUUACUAAGAAAACGUAGGACUUGGACACUGUGAAAAGAAGAAACUGUUGAAUUGUACAACAUAAAAAUAAGUCACUAAAUUGAAUUUCAAACUGGUCAAGAAUGUAUAGAAAAGGUAUAACAGAUCAAACACUAAUUCAUUAUAUUCAAAUUUUGGUUCAUUAAAAUUAAAAAUGUCUGCUCUGCAAAAGCUUUUGUUAAGAGAAAAAAAAGACAAGCCACAGACUAAAAAAAAAUUGCAAAAGAUAGCUGAUGAAGGAUUCUAUGCAGAAUAUACAAAUUAACAGUGUAAAAACAAACCGCACAAUUAAAAAUAGACAAAAUAUCUGAACAGAUACUUUAUUAAAGAAGAUAGAUGACAAAUAAAGAUGUUAAAAUGCUCAAAAUCAUAUAUCAUUUAGGAAUUGCAAAUUCAAACAAUGAGAUACUACCCUAAACCUAUUAUAAGUAUGGCUGAAAUCAAAAAUACAAACAAGGACGUGAAGAACAGGAACUCUCAUUCAUUGCUGGUGGGAGUGCAAAAUGGUAUAGGAACUUUGGAAGACAGUUUGACAUUCUUGCAAAGCUGAAUAUAAGCUUACUAUAUAAUCUAGAAAUUGUGCUUCUAAGUAUAACCCAAAUUAGUUGAAAACUUGAUACAAAUGCUUAAAGAGUCUUUUCUAAUACUUGUUAAAAUUGGAAGCAGUCAAGAUGUGCUUCAGUAAGUGAAUGAAUAAACAAACUAUGAUAAGUCCAUACAAUGAACUAUUACUCAGUGAUAGAAAGAAAUGAGUUAUGAAGCCAUUAAAAGACAUGUAGGAAGAUUAAAUACAUAUUACUAAGUGAAAUAAGUCAGUUUGAAAAGGGCACAGACUGUAUGAAUCCAACCGUAUGAAAUUCUGAGUCAGACCUAUAGAGACAGUAAAAAGAGCAGUAAUUGGCCAGGCUUCAGGGGAAGGGAGGGAUGAACAGGUGAAGCACAGGACAUUUUUAUGAUGGUGAAAUUAUAUCCUAUGAUACUAUAACAGUGGAUACAUAGCAUAAUACAUUUAUAUAAUGAAUUUGAGAAUUUCAGAGGCUUAUCAAGGAAAAAGAUAAGCCCACAGGUGGCAGUAGCACACAAAGCUUCUACUUGGACGCUACUUGGACAGGGUUGCAAAAAGAACAGUCCUCACAGCAUAAGGCCUUAUAGAAGCACAGGGGACCACCAUCCAGAACGCAGGAGGACAAAGGAGCUCCCAAGGAUGGGAAGGGAGAUGCUGCAUGUCUAGAUAACAUCACUUCACAGCAUGGUAGGAAGCUGCUGGGUCAGAGGGCUCUGAAGGGCAGCAGCCUGCAGUUUAUGUAACUACAAGAUUUUUCUUAUCUAUGGCCGGCAGAUGUUGGGUGCAGUUUCCCAAGGUGUACAAAGCAGGAAGACAUAAAAUGGCAAAAAAAAUCUGCCUGUUGGAGAUAUAUUUACAACAACUGGAUGCGAAAACAUUUCAGUUUGGCACUGUGGGCUUUUGAGCUAAUGAGUCUCAGCCUGAUUUAAGAAGUAAGCAACAAAGGGCCAAUAUGCAAAGGCCAUCUCUGGCUCAUUUAUAUAACAAUUUGUUAAAUCCUAGAGAAUGGUACAACACAGAGUGUCUAAUGUAAACUUGGACUUUUGUUAAUAAUAAUCUAUCAAUAUUGGUUCAUUAAUUUCAAUAAAUGUAUCACACAAAUGCAAGAGGUUAUCAAAAGGGGAAACUCUGUGGGAGGGGGGCAGGUAGGGAAGAGGGAGUGGGGCUAUGUGGGAACUUUAUAUACCUUCUGCACAAUUUUUCUGUGAACCUAAAACUUCUAUAGAAAAUAAAGUCUAUAAAAAUGUUAAAAGUCAAUGAGGAGAAAAAGGAGAGCGAAAUAAAUGGAAACUUGGGGGAAAUUUUGUAAUUCACAAAAUAAAAUCAAAAGUCAAAACCAAAUAAUUCUGCACAUCCAAAAUAUAACUAACAAGUCCAUUGAAUUAUAAACUGGUCAGAAACACAUGCAACAGUUAUAACAGAUCAAAAAGAGAUUUGUGCAAGUUUAAUGCAAAGGAAAUGUGGAGUAAGGCAUUAAGUAGGCAGUUUAGAGAAAAUGAAUACAAUUUUUUGAGAGGAAAGAAGGCCACCCUAACUCAAUAAACAAGUAAAAUAUUAUCACUGUGAGUUUCUAUUUUUCAUCUGUAAAUUUGGAAAAUACAAAAAACCCUGAAACCUGUAACACCCACCUGACAAACUCACAUAUGCUGUUGGUGGACAUGUACACUGGUAACUAUUUCAGAAUAUUUUUGAUAUCGUAAUAAAAACAGCACAUAGCCUUUGACAAAAUAGUUCUAUUCAUAGAAAUAUUUCCUACAUUCUUACUUACAGAUAUGCUCAAAACAUAUGUACAAGGGUGUUUGUGGCAGCUUUCGUUUUAUUAGCCAAAGACUGGACACUACCCAACUACACAUUGUUGUGGCAAUCCCUCAGAAUUUCCUGCUUCUGAAGAACUCACAAAUAGAGACAGAUGAAUGAGCCUAUAUGGCCAUGGAGAACAAAGGAACCACGACUGAUGAGGAACUGGUACUUAAAGUGUCUCCCAGAAAGAAACCCUCCAAAUAUGAUUCUGAAAUUGGUUUUCUUAUGUAUUCGAGGAGGGCACAGCUAAUGUAUGGAUGCAAUUUGCCAAUAUUUGAGGUACAAAGAUUAACUGCAAGUGAGGAGUAAGGUACAGAGAAGAAAACAAAAUGACUUGUUUGCUAUGGCAAAAAAUAGUAAUUGUAAAGACUGUGCAGUCCUCUACCUUCUUCAGACUACCCUGGAAGACGGACUUAAGGAAAAGGGGCAAUUUAAAGUUCUAAAUAGACAACUGAGAACAUGUUCGAAAAACCCAGAGGUCUCCAUUUCAGCUCUGAAGGAGUCCCUCAUCUUCUCCCUAGCCAAAAGACAUGCAGUAGAGGACUUUUAGUUUUCAGGAACCUAAUAGGUUAGAUGGGCACAUCUAUAAUUAAAGGGACACUCAUUCACCUUGAAGGGACAGAUACUCUGUUAUUGGAUCUGAUGUCCCUGCCAGCAGCACUUCUUAAUGCACAACUCAUAUACAUACAGAAUGCCCUUUCAUUCCAUGAUAUCCCAUACAACAGCAGUCCCCAACCUUUUUGAUACCAAGGACAGAUUUCAUGGAAAACAGUUUUUCCAUGGACUGGGGGAAGGGAGGAUUAGUUUGGUGAUGU
rnacentral:lncRNA from 1 species